GAUGAACGCUGGCUACAGGCUUAACACAUGCAAGUCGAGGGGAAACGACGGGGAAGCUUGCUUCCUCGGGCGUCGACCGGCGCACGGGUGAGUAACGCGUAUCCAACCUGCCUCUGACUGAGGGAUAACCCGUCGAAAGUCGGCCUAAUACCUCAUGGCAUCGUCUGCGGGCAUCCAACGACGAUUAAAGAUUUCAUCGGUCAGAGAUGGGGAUGCGUCUGAUUAGCUUGUUGGCGGGGUAACGGCCCACCAAGGCGACGAUCAGUAGGGGUUCUGAGAGGAAGGUCCCCCACAUUGGAACUGAGACACGGUCCAAACUCCUACGGGAGGCAGCAGUGAGGAAUAUUGGUCAAUGGGCGAGAGCCUGAACCAGCCAAGUAGCGUGCAGGAUGACGGCCCUAUGGGUUGUAAACUGCUUUUAUGCGGGGAUAAAGUGAAGGACGUGUCCUUCAUUGCAGGUACCGCAUGAAUAAGGACCGGCUAAUUCCGUGCCAGCAGCCGCGGUAAUACGGAAGGUCCGGGCGUUAUCCGGAUUUAUUGGGUUUAAAGGGAGCGUAGGCCGUGGAUUAAGCGUGUUGUGAAAUGCAGGUGCUCAACGUCUGCACUGCAGCGCGAACUGGUUCACUUGAGUGUGCACAACGCAGGCGGAAUUCGUCGUGUAGCGGUGAAAUGCUUAGAUAUGACGAAGAACUCCGAUUGCGAAGGCAGCUUGCGGGAGCACAACUGACGCUGAAGCUCGAAGGUGCGGGUAUCAAACAGG
rnacentral:rRNA from 1 species